GGAAGGGCACCACCAGGUGUGGAGCCUGCGGCUUAAUUUGACUCAACACGGGAAACUCACCAGGUCCAGACACAAUAAGGAUUGACAGAUUGAUAGCUCUUUCUUGAUCUUGUGGUUGGUGGUGCAUGCCCGUUCUUAGUUGGUGGAGUGAUUUGUCUGGUUAAUUCCGAUAACGAACGAGACCUUAACCUGCUAAAUAGCCCCGGCUGGCUUUGGCUGGUCGCUGGCUUCUUAGAGGGACUAUCGGCGUUUAGCCGAUGGAAGUUUGAGGCAAUAACAGGUCUGUGAUGCCCUUAGAUGUUCUGGGCCGCACGCGCGCUACACUGACAAAGCCAGCGAGUUCAUCACCUUGGCUGGAAAGCCUGGGUAAUCUUGUGAAACUUUGUCGUGAUGGGGAUAGAGCAUUGCAAUUAUUGCUCUUCAACGAGGAAUACCUAGUAGGCGUGAGUCAUCAGCUCGCGUCGAUUACGUCCCUGCCCUUUGUACACACCGCCCGUCGCUACUACCGAUUGAGCGGCUUAGUGAGGUCUUCGGAUUAGCCUUCGGAAGCUGGAAACGGCAUCUGGAGGCCGAAAAGUUGAACGAACUUGGUCGCUUAGAGGAAGUAAAAGUCGUAACAAGGUUUCCGUAGGUGAACCUGCGGAAGGAUCAUUAGUGAAUCCGGGCAGAGAUGCCCUUCACAAUUUUCUAACACUUGUGCACUGUCUCAUAUAACGCUGUUGAAGUACAUGGAAUGUCACAUUAGUGAUAAUAAAAAUUACAACUUUCAGCAACGGAUCUCUAGGCUCUCGCAUCGAUGAAGAACGCAGCGAAAUGCGAUACGUAAUGUGAAUUGCAGAAUUGAGUGAAUCAUCGAAUCUUUGAACGCAUCUUGCGCUCCUUGGUAUUCCGAGGAGCAUGUCUGCUUGAGUGUCAUGAAAUUCUCGACCGCCCCGAGGGCUUUUCUUUGCUCCUGGGGGAUAAGGUACGGACUGUGGCCGUAGUGUCUCUCUCUCUCUCGCACGCGCGAGAUGUUGAGGGCUCGGCUUAAUGAGAUGAAGGCUGACCUAAUCAUUUUGGGGCCGGUUGACUCGAUAUUGUACAUCACACUUUGUCGGGGCGCUGUCUCUCAAGUGUCGGCCUCCCCUUGUGAUUCAAGGGGUACCAAAAUACCAUUGAUAUCUCGACCUCAAGUCAGGCAGGACUACCCGCUGAACUUAAGCAUAUCAAUAAGCGGAGGAAAAGAAACUAACAAGGAUUCCCCUAGUAACGGCGAGUGAAGCGGGAAGAGCUCAAAUUUAAAAUCUGGCAGCUCUUGCUGUCCGAGUUGUAAUCUCGAGAGGUGUUCUCUGUGCCGGACCGUGUCUAAGUCUGUUGGAAUACUAUGUCACAGUGGGUGAGAACCCCGUACACGACGCGGAUGCCCGGUGCUCUGUGAAGCAUCUUCGAAGAGUCGAGUUGUUUGGGAAUGCAGCUCAAAGUAGGUGGUAAACUCCAUCUAAAGCUAAAUAAUGGCGAGAGACCGAUAGCGAACAAGUACCGUGAGGGAAAGAUGAAAAGCACUUUGGAAAGAGAGUUAACAGUACGUGAAAUUGUUGAAAGGGAAACGAUUGAAGUCAGCUUCGCGCGGUGGGAUUCAGCCUUGCCCUCGGGCUUGGUGUAUUUUCUGCCCUGCGGGCCAGCAUCGGUUUGGGGGGUCGGAUAAGGGCUUGGGGAAGGUGGCACCUUCGGGUGUGUUAUAGACCCAUGCUGGAUACGAACCCCUGGACCGAGGAUCGCAGCAAUAUGCUAAGGAUGCUG
rnacentral:rRNA from 1 species